rnacentral:lncRNA from 1 species
UUCAGUUCCCUCACAUGACUAGGGUUAACAUUUUCGUAACCUGUAAAGGUCUUUACGAAUAGCCACAACACACUCGAUUAGGUCAUAGAAGACGUAAAACACUGAUGUGACCUGUGAUACUAGUUUGUAUCACCGUCAUACAACAUUGAUAUAUGCAGGCCGCUGCAGAUUUCUGCUUGAAGAUUACUUUUUCUGUGUUUUGGCUGAUUGAUGAUACCCUGCAGACUCGGAGUUUUCUGAGCAACCUUAUACGUAAGACCACAAGAGGCCCUUCAUAGCUCUGAUCAAGUUCAAACAUAGCCGCAAAGAAUAAAAAACAAAUCAAGUCUUCUGCUGUUGGUAAACUUUGGCCAAAAACAGCUUACUUUUUUGCUAAGAUGUAGCAUAAAUGGACCGAUCAAAGCAAUUUCUCCAACCCUACAAUUAGCGGCCUUGUACAAGCCUUGAUCGCCAAUGAAACAAGUUACUCAAAGAACCCAAAUUAUUAGUAUAAUCCUUGACACUAGACGCUGCAAUUGUAAUACCACUCAUCGGUGAAUUAUCUUCUCAUUAACAGAAAAAAAAGAAAAAAAAGAAAGAAAGAACGUUUCCUUUUAAAGUAUUAUAUUCUUUCAACAAAGAAUUAAGUUAUACUUUUCAUCUUUCAUAUCCUCAUUUGUCCAAACACAUCUUUUUCUAGACAAUUCCAGGGUCAAAAUCCUGUAGUAAAAUUUAUGAAAUUGUCCAGCACAUUGGAGAGGCCAACAAUAUUUUCAAUUGUGUAUUCAAACCGUACAAAAAUAUCGUUUAUCUCAUUUUCAUGUCUCUCUGGAAAGAAAUUUUUAUACAUCAAGGAAUGUUGAUUAUGGCAUGUCUUAGAUGUGGAUUCUGGCACAGGUUUAGAUAAAUGUAUGAUCCCUAUGAAUAAAAAUGGGAAACUAAAAGAGAGGGUUGGACGGCACACUAAAACCUGGGGUUUAGACCAAUUGGUUCAUGUUCUCCAAGCCCCUUUCCCAUCCCCAGUUUUCGACUUCCUUUGUACCAAACACUCAGCAACCGGGAUGAACCAUUUUCAAUCGAAGAAAUAUAUGGCAGUAGGAAUAAAUUUUAGUGGUUCAGAACAGCUCAAUUGCAAAGCGGUAGAAGAUGGGUUGCUAUAAGUUCCAAAAACCCAACAUUAGAUUCUGUAUGAAAUCAGAUGUCAAUGCUAAGGGCACAGGUUUUUUUGUGGCUUCUAGCUAGCUAUAUAAUUUUUCUGCAAAAUCUUAUUUGAAAAAAAGUUGAAGACUGUAGAGCACUGCUGCAAAUACUUUUAUUCUUAUUUGCCUUUUUUGUCUCAGACAUCCAAACUCUAGACAAAACAUAAAGAUUCAACUAUCCUCAUUAAAUCUUUGUAAUGCCUUCCAUUGAUGACCUACUCAUAAGAUUUUGAUCACUGACUAUGAUUUGACUAUAUUUUUCAUGAAGAGGAAACAGAUCGGCCAUACCUUCCUGUUAGACACUGUUACUAUGGUGUUCUGUAUGAAGCCAGGACAAGAAAGGGUUCAUACAAUUUCAAUACUGAAAGCAGUUCCAGUGUCAUAAAUCAAGGAAAACAUACUUUAUCCCCUUAUUGCUAUGCAAGCUCAAUCAACUUAAGAAGGCCAACCUUUUUGUUGCCCCCAGCAAAAAUUCUCAGUCAAAUAAUUUCUCUUCAAUAGAUGCAAAGGCUUGAAAACAGUAGCCCCUAUUUUCUUCAUCCCAUUAUCAACAUUUGCAGGAAUGAUGAAGAUUGUUCCAAGUGUUAAAGGCACUUAUGUCUUUCUUAUUGGUAACGUCUCC